UACGUAGGGUGCGAGCGUUAAUCGGAAUUACUGGGCGUAAAGCGUGCGCAGGCGGUUCGUUAUGUCCGAUGUGAAAGCCCCGAGCUUAACUUGGGAAUGGCAUUGGCAACUGGCGGGCUGGAGUGCGGCAGAGGGGGGUGGAAUUCCACGUGUAGCAGUGAAAUGCGUAGAGAUGUGGAGGAACACCGAUGGCGAAGGCAGCCCCCUGGGCCGACACUGACGCUCAGGCACGAAAGCGUGGGGAGCAAACAGG
rnacentral:rRNA from 1 species